GGAUUAGGCAUGCAAGUCGAACGGUAGGAUAUCUUUCGGGGUAUCUGAGAGUGGCGAACGGGUGAGUAACGCGUAGGUGAUCUACCUCCGGGCGGGGGACAACUCGAGGAAACUUGGGCUAAUACCGCAUGUGACCGCAAGGUUAAAGCCGGCCUCUGCGAGAGUAAGCUGGCGUCCGGAGAUGAGCCUGCGUCUUAUUAGUUAGUUGGUAGGGUAACGGCCUACCAAGGCGAUGAUAAGUAGGCGGCUUUAACGAGUGGUCGCCCACACUGGGAUUGAGAGACGGCCCAGACUCCUACGGGAGGCAGCAGUCGAGGAUAGUCUACAAUGGCCGAAAGGCUGAUAGUGCGACGCCGCGUGAACGAGGAAACAUUUCGGUGUGUAAAGUUCUUUUCCAUGGGAGCAGGACACAGGGGGUGAACAGUCACCGGUGUUGGAUCAUACUAUGGGAAUAAGCCACGGCUAACUCCGUGCCAGCAGCCGCGGUAAUACGGGGGUGGCGAGCGUUGUCCGGAAUUACUAGGCGUAAAGGGGCAGGUAGGCGGUCAUAUAAUUUAACCGUUAAAGACCUAUGCUCACCAUAAGGAGGGCGGUUGAUACGGUAUGGGUGGGAGCGAGGGGGGGAAAAACGGAAUUUCCCGGUGUACCGGGGGAAGGCCCAGAAAUUCGGGAGGACCACUUAGGGGGAAGGCGGUCUUCUAUGCUUUUCUUGACGCCAAACUGGCGAAGGGGCGGGUAUCAAACAGGAUUAGAUACCCUGGUAGUCCGCACAGUAAACGAUAAUCACUAGGUGUUGGCAGGAUAUACCUGUCAGUGCCGUAGCAAACGCGGUAAGUGAUUCGCCUGGGGAGUACGAUCGCAAGGUUGAAACUCAAAGGAAUUGACGGGGGCCCGCACAAGCGGUGGAGCAUGUGGUUUAAUUCGAUGCAACGCGAAGAACCUUACCCGGGCUUGACAUCCCAAGGAGUUUCCGGAGACGGGAAUGUGCCCUUCGGGGAACUUGGAGACAGGUGCUGCAUGGCUGUCGUCAGCUCGUGUCGUGAGAUGUUGGGUUAAGUCCCGCAACGAGCGCAACCCCUUUCUUCAGUUGCCAUCAUUAAGUUGGGAACUCUGGAGAGACCGCUGCAGUAACAAUGCAGAGGAAGGCGGGGACGACGUCAAGUCAUCAUGGUCCUUAUGUCCGGGGCGACACACGUGCUACAAUGGCAGUUACAGAGGGAAGCUAAGGGGUGACCUGGAGCGAAUCUCAGAACAGCUGCCGCAGUUCGGAUUGGGGUCUGCAACUCGGCCCCAUGAAGCCGGAAUCGCUAGUAAUCGCGUAACAGCAUGACGCGGUGAGUACGUUCCCGGGCCUUGUAGACACCGCCCG
rnacentral:rRNA from 1 species